GAUGAACGCUGGCGGUGUGCCUAAUACAUGCAAGUCGAGCGAACAGAUGAGGAGCUUGCUCCUCUGACGUUAGCGGCGGACGGGUGAGUAACACGUGGAUAACCUACCUAUAAGACUGGGAUAACUUCGGGAAACCGGAGCUAAUACCGGAUAAUAUAUUGAACCGCAUGGUUCAAUAGUGAAAGACGGUUUUGCUGUCACUUAUAGAUGGAUCCGCGCCGCAUUAGCUAGUUGGUAAGGUAACGGCUUACCAAGGCAACGAUGCGUAGCCGACCUGAGAGGGUGAUCGGCCACACUGGAACUGAGACACGGUCCAGACUCCUACGGGAGGCAGCGGUAGGGAAUCUUCCGCAAUGGGCGAAAGCCUGACGGAGCAACGCCGCGUGAGUGAUGAAGGUCUUCGGAUCGUAAAACUCUGUUAUUAGGGAAGAACAAAUGUGUAAGUAACUAUGCACGUCUUGACGGUACCUAAUCAGAAAGCCACGGCUAACUACGUG
rnacentral:rRNA from 1 species